rnacentral:rRNA from 1 species
AGAGUUUGAUCCUGGCUCAGAAUCAACGCUGGCGGCGUGCCUAACACAUGCAAGUCGAACGCGAAAGUGGAGCAAUCCAUGAGUAGAGUGGCAAACGGGUGAGUAACACGUGGGUGACCUGCCUCCGAGUGGGGGAUAACGUCCCGAAAGGGACGCUAAUACCGCAUAACAUCCUGCCUUUUAACAGGUGGAGAUCAAAGCUGGGGAUCGCAAGACCUAGCGCUUGAAGAGGGGCCCGCGUCUGAUUAGCUAGUUGGUGGGGUAAUGGCUCACCAAGGCAACGAUCAGUAUCCGGCCUGAGAGGGCGGACGGACACACUGGGACUGAGACACGGCCCAGACUCCUACGGGAGGCAGCAGUGGGGAAUUGUUCGCAAUGGGCGCAAGCCUGACGACGCAACGCCGCGUGGAGGAUGAAGACCUUCGGGUCGUAAACUCCUUUCGAUCGAGACGAACGGCCUCCGGGUGAAUAAUCCGGAGGAGUGACGGUACCGAGAGAAGAAGCCCCGGCUAACUCCGUGCCAGCAGCCGCGGUAAUACGGGGGGGGCAAGCGUUGUUCGGAAUUACUGGGCGUAAAGGGCUCGUANGUGGCCAACUAAGUCAGACGUGAAAUCCCUCGGCUUAACCGGGGAACUGCGUCUGAUACUGGAUGGCUUGAGUUUGGGAGAGGGACGCGGAAUUC